rnacentral:lncRNA from 1 species
GGCCCAAAAUCUUUCCACAAAAGAGUGUGCACACCUAGUUUUUGAUGGAUUGACAAAAGGUUCAUUUGGUGACUUAUAGCAAAAACAUCUAAUUUUAGCUUUGGGGAUUCCAAGAGAAAUAUUCUUUACAACAAUUUAACAUAAAUAAUUUUUAUAAAAUUUUAAAUUCUAUUUCAUAAAAUCAGCUAUCAAAAAUUAUUGUUAACCA